rnacentral:lncRNA from 1 species
UUAAAUUUUGUUUUGAUUUCGCUCUAGCUUAGGCUUAUUAGAGUAGGUUUCAAGUUGACGGUUACUCAAAUUUGACAAACAUCGGGGUGAAGCUACCAAACAACGUCUGAUGACUGCAUUCCAACUAUUUGUUUAAUACUUCCAAAUGAAUUUUUGUGUAUUUCUGAAAAAAAAAAUGUGGAAAGCCACGUAACUUUCAUUUUCCUAAUGCAUACUAUUUGCCGUUUGGUGGAAGAAUGUCAUGGAAAUGCAACAGUUUCAAAACUAAGGUAAACUAAACAAGUAAACAAUUUAUCACAAAUAGUCAAAUAACGUUAGUUUCAAGGUUAGAACCCUCCAACUUCCCAAGCGGAGUCACUAUUUUUGUUUUAUUUUGGAAAAGGAAAAUAUUAUAUUUUAUAAGUUUUUGACUUUUAUAGAGUCGCCACUUAAUUUUUGAAAAAGAAUCAAGAAAACUAUGUUUUCAAAAGACUUAACAGAAAAAUCAAUGUAAAAUACUUAAAAAGGUUCGAAGAUUCAUAUUUACGUCUUAGGAAGAUUUUGAAAGCACCCAAGACAUCCGCUAACUUACAGUUAUCCGACAACACACUCAUUUGGCUAAAAAACUAAUUUAUUUUGAAAUAAUAUAUUGUUUAGAGUUGUUUGAAACAAAGUAAAUAAUUUUAAAAUUGGUUUACGGGUUUAUUCACUCGUUUAGAAUCGGUUUGAAUUAGUUUUAAGUUGAUAAAAUAUUUACUAUAUUUGCGGGGAUAUGAAUUCCUUAGCCUUACAACUAACGACAAAUAUAACAAGUAAUUAAUCAAAUAAGGGGAGAGAGAGAGAUUGGGUCCAAACCAGUUUCUGUUUGUCUGGACCAGAAAUUUGGACCCACCUGUUUUGGGUUUUUGACCCAUUUGACUUUUGGGCCUUUGACCCAUUCCACCUGUCCUUAGCCUAUUACAAAAAAAAAUGCAGAAAAGAAAUACAACAAGGGCUUAGAACCCAAAAUUACAAAAUACAAAGUAAAGAAUAAAAUAAUGUGGGCUUCUUGACCCAACUUCUUCCACUCCUUGGUUUGCUUCAAAUUUCGCUCCAUGGUAUGUUCAUUAGUUUAAGGGAUGAUUGACUCAAAAUGGAAAAAAUUUAAGCCUUUGCAGCUUUCUUGAAAUAAAGGAAUGGAAUGUGUUCGUAAUGAAUUUGGACGAAUUCCACAUGCAAUAACAAUAAACAAAAAGUGAGUAGAAGAUCGACUAUUUUGUAAAAGAGGAGGUCAAAUAAAUUAAAGUUAAUACAACUUAAAAUCCCCAUAGAUAGCAGUUAAUAGAGAACAGAAGCAAGAUUCCACCGAUGAAAUUUUUUAUUAACCAAAGACCCUUGACUCUCACCUAAAAUUUCAAACCCAAUUGAAUGAAAAUGAGCAUCAAAACACACAAGUAUAUUCUGUUACUAUCAUUUAAUGGAAUCCCGAAGGAUCAAAACUUAAAGCAUGCUCUUCAAGUACCACGAAACGCCACGAAUAGUUAUUUCAAAAAAAAACUUCAUAAUGAUUCAUCAAAUGAACUAACUUGCAGACAUUACACAUAUCCAACAUCAACUCCAAAUGAAUUACAAUUUUAAAGACGAGAAGAGCGCAGUUGACAUCGAUCCGACGGAUAUUUGCAGUUUUAGUAAAGCUGAAUAUCAUAUAUUUGAAGGGAAAGAAAAAUAAAAUUCGACACUUGGGAUUAUGGAGAUGACCCAAACAGCUGAUCAGCAAAAGAAAUUCAUGAACAAAAACCUCAGACAAAAUGUAUCGAGACAAGACAAAAACAUAGAACCAAAGCAACUCGUCAUCUUCCCAACACUUUAACACCCAGAGGUAUUUGAAAUAAGGUGAUAAAAACCCAACUAUUUGAAGACGUUGCUGCACUAUUAUUUUAACCAAAUAGGCAUUUUCAAAAUUAGGCAAAUCAUAAAUCCAAAUUCACAGAAUCAGUUCACAGAGGAAUAAUAAAAUGACAUCUAACAUCUAGCAUAUUCGAAUUAUGCAAAAAAUACAUAUAUUUUUUAACGUAUUUAAGCUAACAUUGAACAACCAUGCGAUGCAUGACUACCAAAUUGAUUUCUACCCCUUUAAAUUAAUAGACAGGCCGCUUCAAAUUUCCUAAUUAACACACAUAAACAAAGAACUACCGAUGGCAUUUACAUAAAAAAGAAGAAUAAACAGUAAAAAAAGAUGAAAAAGAAGAACUAUUGACAAUGAAGGUUCGUAUAGCCUUUGCAUAUAAAAGGGAACAACAAAAGCAGUACUAAUUGCUUUUAGCAAAAGAGUUAGAAAGAGGGAAUAUGCAUAUCAUUUUGGGGAAUGGAAAUAAAGUCUACGCUUCCAGAAUAACUUGAUGUAAUGACCAAGUAUACAGAAUAGUAACAAGAAAUCUGAACAACAGUUAAAUCAACAUACCAAUUCAGAAUAUAGACAUCUUAACUCAUUCGCUCGACUUGAGAUGCACAUUGAGUAUUACAUAACGAAACAAGUUUGAUCACAUUCGAGAAACAAACUCAAUGAAGAGAUAUCAACGAAGCAAAUUUUGAACAAUCGAUAUCAAAUCAGCAAACAACCAACAGACAAAUCAGAAAAGAAUGACAAAGAGAACAGUUAACGGAGAGAGCAUUACCUUUCCUUGAGCAGCGAAAGUGGGACACGAAGACGAGCGAAGAUGACGACCCAAGCCUCAAGUGAGGCUAGACUAAAGAGACGGGAACAGAGUGAUAAUAUGAGGUCUCGACUGAAACUAGAACGAGCUCAGCCUUGAACGUCUUCCUGAUUUUUUAGCUAAUACUUUCUUACUAUUAUCCUCAAUUCUUCUUUCAGUCUAGUUUUUCUAUUAGUUCAAAAUUUCCUCCUCAAAAAUCUCUUGCCAAAAAAAAACCUCCUCCCAGAACGAGAAGCAAAAAAUACAUAUAAAGGGGCUGCCAGGAUUAUGAAUUUGGGACGGAAAAGGGUAAAAUCGGAAGAAGAACCCAGGCCCCAUCCCAAGCUAGAAAUUCAAAAGCUUUUCACCAAAAAAGGCAGACACCCUUUUCUGAAUAUUUCAAACUAUUCUUGAAGAGGAAAGGGGAGAUGGACGCUCUUGAUCGACUCCUCAACAUGGACUCUCGAUGUGACAUGAUCUCAUGCUGUGAGGACGAAAAUGGCAGGUGGCUUUGUCGUACGGGAGAAGAAAAAGCCAAAAACGAUGCACUAUAGCGCAGAGGUGAACUUUAUCGUGUAUUCAUCGUAUAUUCGUGAACGUUGGAAGAGGCUACUGUUGAUGUCAUCCUCACGCCGUGUAGACGUCGUGUCUUCGCCGUUUGAAAUUGUUAAUUUGUUGUUGCUGUCACGUUAUGGGUCUCUUUUUCUAAAGGAAAGUGAAGCUAGGGCCGGGUCGGGUCAAAAUUGUGGAGUGAGCCAAGAAAUUGGGCUGGGGUAGCAUUAGGAAAAGAAUUGGGCUGAGAAAUAAUGGAAAAUUGGAGUGGCCUAUAGUUUCUGUAUGCAUUGCUACUGCAGAAGGAAGAAGCCCC